rnacentral:rRNA from 1 species
GCCUAUGACCAUAUCACCCUGAAUGUGCCUGAUCUUGUCGGAUCUCGGAAGCUAAGUAGGGUUGGGUCUGGUUAGUACCCGGAUGGGAGAAUUACAGUUGAACUUUUAAGUCCUCCUAAUCC